rnacentral:rRNA from 1 species
CGAAAGCCUGACGGAGCAACGCCGCGUGUGGGAAGAAGGCUCUUGGGCUGUCAACCACUUUUCUCAGGGAAGAAGUCCUGACGGUACCUGAGGAAUCAGCCUCGGCUAACUCCGUGCCAGCAGCCGCGGUAAUACGGAGGAGGCAAGCGUUAUCCGGAAUUAUUGGGCGUAAAGCGUCCGCAGGGGGCGCAUCAAGUCUGCUGUUAAAGGUCGGAGCUAAACUCCGGUAGAGCAGUGGAAACUGGUGCGCUAGAGGGCGACAGGGGUAGAGGGAAUUCCCAGUGUAGCGGUGAAAUGCGUAGAGAUUGAGAAGAACACCGGUGGCGAAAGCGCUCUACUGGGUCGCGCCUGACCCUCAGGGACGAAAGCUAAGGUAGCG